rnacentral:rRNA from 1 species
AUUGAACGCUGGCGGCAUGCCUUACACAUGCAAGUCGAACGGCAGCGGGGGAGAAGCUUGCUUUUCCUGCCGGCGAGUGGCGAACGGGUGAGUAAUACAUCGGAACGUGCCCUGUAGUGGGGGAUAACUAGUCGAAAGAUUAGCUAAUACCGCAUACGACCUGAGGGUGAAAGUGGGGGACCGCAAGUCCUCAUGGUAUAGGAGGGGCCCAUGUCUGAUUAGAUAGUUGGUGGGGUAAAGGCCUACUAAGGCGACGAUCAGUAGCUGGUCUGAGAGGACGAUCAGCCACACUGGGACUGGGACACGGCCCAGACUCCUACGGGAGGCAGCAGUGGGGAAUUUUGGACAAUGGGCGAAAGCCUGAUCCAGCAAUGCCGCGUGUGUGAAGAAGGCCUUCGGGUUGUAAAGCACUUUUGUCCGGAAAGAAAUGGCUCUGAUUAAUACCUGGGGUCGAUGACGGUACCGGAAGAAUAAGGACCGGCUAACUACGUGCCAGCCGCCGCCGUAAAAC